UUCGGCUGCCGCCCUCUCCCUCCCUCGCUCGCCUUCUCCCCGUCGCCGCCUCCCCUCCCCUUCACGCUCUCAGCCUGCCUCCGUCGCCUCUCCCCGCUGCUGCCGCCGCUCGCUCCUGCGGGAUCCAGAUCUAGCGCGGGGCGCGGCUCGGAGGGAGAAGGGAAAGGGCGUGUGCCGACCGGCCACGCCGCGGCUACGCGCGGGGCUCGCCGCCGGGCUGCAGGAGCUCAGGCUCGGCGGCCGCGGCCCGAAGCACGGAGCCGGGACGGUGGCCGGCACCAGCGCUGAUGGAGCCUACUCCGGCCCCGGUGCGGCUGCUGCUCUGCCCAUGGCCGCGGGCGCCGGUGAGGGGUCGGCGAGCAGAGCAACGACCGGCGGUGGCAGUCGUGCGGGCUGGCCACAGGUCCUGCUGCUGGCUGUGCUGGCCCUGUCGCGUGGGGGCGCUGGGCGUAGUGAAGUCUCAGGCCGGUGACCGAAGACGGCGGCUGCGAUGCGGGCCUUGUCCCUCUUCCUCGACUUCGCCAAGCAGUUCGUCCCCUGCGUGCACCCCAAAGCUCGCGCCGUCAACAAUGCUGCUCUCGAUCUCCUGGCGGGGAGGUGGUUCGAGAACUUGGACGAUGAGGAGAGCUACGAGCGGUUCCGGCGGUUGCACGCGACUUAUCUGAGGUGUACGGCUGCACCCAGUAGCGACGGCCCUCUCCUCAUGGAGCAACGUGACGUCAUGGUGAACUGGAUCAUCGAGCAUUCGCACCUCAUGAAGUUGCAGCCAAUUACCAUGUUCAUGGGAUUGGACUGAUGGACCGCUUCUUGACACAAGGAUACAUGAAGGGUCUGAGAAAUCUGCAGUUGCUGGAUGCACCGGUACAACUGCCGGAGUUAGCGACUAUGAACUGAUGUGACCGCCGAACUCAAAAUGGCGCAACUUGCAGGUAGAAUGGGAUGAACAUGGGUAUGGAGGACCUGAAAGAGUUAGCCUACGGGAUAUUAAAACCCCAGAAAAUCCUCUGGUAAUCCUCUAGUUUUCUCUUCUCAGUUGAAUUAGAAGCGGCUAUGGUGGCUACCAGUUAUGGAGUUCCUGGGCUACAAAUUGAAUCUGUAAAUAUGUCAUCAAUUCCAAGGGCACAAUCAAAUCCUUUUGGUGUCUUGCAACACAUGCAAGGGAUCAGCUCAGAGUUGGCUUCGAUGCUUCUCAAUCAAUCUGGCUAGAUGAUGUUAACAUGUUGAUGAUGUGCUUGCUACCGGAUGUGGUGGUUUCGUAUUGAAUUCAUCUUAUACUAUGCAUAUAUUUUAAUUAUCACUUUUUUGUCUUAUGGUUAUUUAUAUUUGAUUGUUCAAACAGUAGGGCGCGCAUCGCGCGCCGAAUGUUCUAGUUAGAGAUUCAAAGUGUAUGAAAUGUUCUAUGAGGAGAUGGGCUGAUGGGCAUGACUUGUCUGACGUCAAUAGUGGACACUUUUAUGAUCA